AAACUAACAAGGAUUCCCCUAGUAGCGGCGAGCGAACCGGGAGAAGCCCAGCUUGAAAAUCGCGUCGCUUCGCGGUGCGAGUUGUAGACUGGAGAAGCGUCCUCUGUUGCGGACUCGGCCUAAGUUCCCUGGAAAGGGACGUCAGAGAGGGUGAGAACCCCGUCGGGCGGAGACCCUGCAGCUCCACGAGGCGCUGUCGACGAGUCGGGCUGUUUGGGAAUGCAGCCCUAAGCGGGAGGUAAAUUCCUUCCAAGGCUAAAUACCGGCGAGAGACCGAUAGCGAACAAGUACCGCGAGGGAAAGAUGAAAAGGACUUUGAAAAGAGAGUUAAAAAGUGCUUGAAAUUGCUGGGAGGGAAGCGAAUGGAGGCCUCGUGUGCGCCCCGGUCGGAUGCGGAACGGCGCGAGCUGGUCCGCCGCUCGACGCGGGGUGCUGGUCAGCGUGGGCUGAUCCGGCGGGACAAAAGUCGGGCUUCAGUGCCCGGCCGAUGCCGUCGGACCGGCCGAGGAAUCGAAGCGUGCGUCCCACCUUCGGGAGGGACGGGGCCCCUCGGGGUCACCUGCGCGCUCGAGACGCUGGCGUAGUGGGCUUUUCAUCCGACCCGUCUUGAAACACGGACCAAGGAGUCUAACAUGCAUGCGAGCCGGUGGGCGGCAAACCCACGUUGAGGCGUAAAUAACUUAACUGGUGUGAUCCUCCCUGGCGGGGUGCAACAUCGACCGACCAUGAGCUCAUGCGAAAGGUUCGAGUAAGAGCAUGCCUGUUGGACCCGAAAGAUGGUGAACUAUGCCUGAGCAGGGCGAAGUCAGAGGAAACUCUGGUGGAGGCUCGUAGCGAUACUGACGUGCAAAUCGUUCGUCAGACUCGGGUAUAGGGGCGAAAGACUAAUCGAACCAUCUAGUAGCUGGUUCCCUCCGAAGUUUCCCUCAGGAUAGCUGGAGCACGUUUCAGGAGUUUCAUCAGGUAAAGCGAAUGAUUAGAGGCAUCGGGGAUGAAACAUCCUCGACCUAUUCUCAAACUUUAAAUAGGUGAGAUCCGUUGGGGUUGCUUGAUUGAACCCCCGGCGGAGAAUCCUGUG
rnacentral:rRNA from 1 species